UUGGUGAGAUGGGUGGGAAGAUUUUUUAAAAGGUAGCACAUACCCCCCAAAAAAGCCACAUAUGCAAAAGAAACAAAACUAUUUCUGUACUGUGUGUUUUCUCUUCCCGUUGUUUCCCUUGAGGGCCAAGUGCGCCUAUCUGAUAGCACUGAAUUUUAAAAUAGCUUUUUCUGAAAUGAAAAAUGAGCUGGUAUAUUCAUUCCUCCCUUUCUUUCAUGGAUGCAAGCCUAAAACGCCCAGGGAUGUGCAGAGCAGAAUGCUCCAGCUGCAGCAGGGGAUGAGUCACUGCCACAGUGCCAGAAAGGAAUAUGUUAAUGAGGGAUAGCCCACCUGGACAGAAAAAAAAGCUUGCCUGGAGAGGAGAUAAAACAAGCUGCAGUGCUGAGCAAUAAAAUCUCUGAUGUAUUAAUGGUGACUCCGGAUUCUGUUUUUUUUUCCACCGCCAUUUCUGGGAGGUACCUUGUUGGAGUCAGCUUCAACAAGGCUUGGCAGCUUGUUCCAGACUUCCACAACUCUUUGUGUAAAGACGUACCUCCUGGUUUCCCUUCCUGUUUUCUUUGCUGAAGAUAAGAGUCCGAAAAUAAGGAAAUAAGGAAAGUGGAACUCAGUCACUGGGGCUUUUCUCAGAAGAAAAUGAAUCAUUUACUAAUGGCCA